rnacentral:tRNA from 1 species
GGAGGAGUCGGAUAAUGGUAUUCCAAUGGACUGCUAAUCCAUCGCGGCGUAAAAGCCGCUUGUGGGUUCAAAUCCCACCUCCUCCG